rnacentral:rRNA from 1 species
UACGUAGGGACCGAGCGUUGUCCGGAUUCAUUGGGCGUAAAGAGCUCGUAGGCGGCCACUCAAGUCGAAUGUGAAACCUCGAGGCUUAACCUCGAGCCUGCAUUCGAUACUGGGCGGCUAGAGUCUGGUAGGGGGAUCUGGAAUUCCUGGUGUAGCGGUGGAAUGCGCAGAUAUCAGGAGGAACACCGGUGGCGAAGGCGGCAUCCUGGACCGACACUGACGCUGAGGAGCGAAAGCCAGGGGAGCAAACGGGG